ACUGUUAGAGUUUGAAUCUUAAUUUAGGCUCAAGUGUAAAAGGCUAUGUUCAUGCUUCGUCCUGUGCUUUUCAGACCGCUCACCUCUGUGUAUUUUGAUAGGCCCCUCUCCCAGUAGUGAAUGGCUGAUUUACGUCACAUCAAAUUGCAAAGAAAACGCAGCCCUGCCUUGGUCUGCCUCUUUCUCCACUUUUUACCACACGACAGGUGUUUUAAUGCCAGUGCCUUAUUGCCAAGUCCAGCCUUUUCUGAUCUAAAUUUAUAGGAUCAGAAUCAUUUCUUUUGUUUUAACUGUCUGUUAUGGAAAAGUCCAAACACAUGUAAAACACUUCCUUUAACACAUGUAACCACAACACCAUGUAUCGCAGGGAAAAUGUGAGCAUAGGAAGAAAGGGUGCAGGGAGCCCUCUGGGAACUCUGGGAGAUUCAGGGUCAUCUUUGUCUGUGUUCUGUCUGACUCUGGAACUCCAAGCAGCUGUUUCCACAGUGGGCAGCGGUCAGCAUGGCCCAGUGGGGUAACGUCCUCGCACCCUGCUCCUUCCCCUGCUCUCACACUUUCUGUUUUCCUGAAGAACCCCUUUUAUGGCAGUGAUCUCUCAGGUUUUGUUUGUCUGAAGAAGUCUUUGUUCCAGGUUUUUUAAAAGGUAUUUUUGCUGGGUAUAGAAUUCUUGGUUGACUCCCCCCGCCCUCCAACCCUUCAAAGAUUGUCACUUGAAUGUCUUCUAGCUUUCGCAGUUCAGGGAGAAGUCUGCUUUAGUUCUUCUUUGUUCCUCCCCAUGUUAUGUGGGUUUUAUUUGUGUCUUUUGUUGUGGGGUUUUUGUUUGUUUGUUUGUUUGUUUGUUUGUUUGUUUGGCUGCCUUCAGGAUUUUCUCCAUUGACUUUGGUUUUCAUCACUGUGAAUUUGGUGAUUCCAGUGCCCCUAACUUCUCUCCCCACUCUGUGCUCAUGGCCUCACAGUGAUGACAGGGGACCCGUUGCCACUGGCAUUUAUUUAUCCACCUCCAUGCAGCCUCAGGUUUGUAGUGUUCUGGCAACACCAACGGCCACAAGCUGGUGUGGCUUCAUUCAUGGCCCUUAAGGAUUUCACAGUUUUUGAGCAACAGUGUGUGGAGAGGCUCAAAUUAGGUGGCAGCCGUUGUCUCUCAGAUUCGGCAGCUCAACGCUGAGCCCUCUAGGAGGAAACCAUCUCACGAACCCCCUACGUCUUGGUGGAAAGUGGUGAGGCUCCUGGUAAGUUCUCUGUGAGAGAGCUACCACUCUUCUCCUUCCUGUAAGUAGAAAUAUCUGCCAGAUUACAAAGAUUCUUUGGAAUAUAAAGGCUGAAAUGUCCCAUUUUACAUUCUCAUGAACCAUUUAUGUGAAAUGGGUAGAGCUGUAUAAUCCAAGUUUCCAACAUUUUACUUUCUUGGGAAUCUGUGUGUUCGCUUUUGAAAAUUAACACAAGAAAUUUAGCAAACUCCCCAAAAUUAAGAGUACAGUUUCCAUAGCAAGUUUAGCAGUUAGCCUUCAUACACAGAUAAACCCUUCUUUACACAUCUGUAAAAA